rnacentral:lncRNA from 1 species
UGAUACUCAACAAGGAGGCAUCCUCCACCUUGAAAAGAAGGCACAUCCUGUUUCUCUGGACAACCACACACACCUCCUCAACCCCACUGCCCGCUGUCCUUGGCUUCGCCUCCUUCUCCCUCGAUGGCUGUUCAGAUUCUCCUUCCUGCUGAGCCCUACUCCCUCUGUGGGACCUUCUCUUACUAACCCUGCCCCAGCAACCACAGUGCUGUUCCAUCUUCUGUUUCCCCCGCUCUGCUUUAUGUAAUCAUUAUUUCAAACCCUUCUUCCUGGCAGCCCGUGGGCAGCCUUCCUCAGUGGAAGAGUCAUUCUUCCCAUCCCUUCACAGCACAACAGGAGAUGUACACUUGCUUCUCAAUAAACGCUUAGGAAUUAAAUAACAGCAGC